CUCAAAUUUGAAGUGCAAUUUCUAAACUGCGACUGUGCCUUCAUUUUUAAUACUUCAGAGACAUACUAUGCAUCAAAAUGUAGGUCUGGGUCUUGUGAUUCUCACAAUAUAAAGCUAUUCGCUGUAGGAUCUAUAGUUUUUAAAAUACGACCGUUUGAAGAUGGCAACCGCCAAAAUACUCUGACCUGUGUCAAGUUGCAGC